rnacentral:rRNA from 1 species
AACGAACGCUGGCGGCAUGCCUAACACAUGCAAGUCGAACGGACGGUAGCAAUACCGUUAGUGGCGGACGGGUGAGUAACGCGUGGGAACCUGCCUCGAAGUUCGGAAUAACCGCGGGAAACUGCGGCUAAUACCGGAUGUGGCCUGAGGGUCAAAGGCGCAAGUCGCUUCGAGAGGGGCCCGCGUCCGAUUAGCUAGUUGGUGGGGUAACGGCCUACCAAGGCGACGAUCGGUAGCUGGUCUGAGAGGAUGAUCAGCCACACUGGGACUGAGACACGGUCCGGACUCCUACGGGAGGCAGCAGUGGGGAAUAUUGGACAAUGGGGGAAACCCUGGAUCCAGCGACGCCGCGUGGGUGAAGAAGGCCUGCGGGUUGUAAAGCCCUUUCAGUGGGAAGAAAAGCCUCGACCUAACACGUCGGGGUCUUGACGUAACCCAUAGAAGAAGCACCGGCUAACUCUGUGCCAGCA